AACGUAGGUGGCCAGCGUUAUCCGGAUUUAUUGGGUUUAAAGGGUGCGUAGGCGGUCUGUUAAGUUAGAGGUGAAAUCCCGGUGCUCAACACCGGAACUGCCCCUGAUACUGGCAGGCUAGAGUAUAGUUGCUGUGGGCGGAAUGUAUGGUGUAGCGGUGAAAUGCUUAGAGAUCAUACAGAACACCGAUUGCGAAGGCAGCUCACAAAGCUAUUACUGACGCUGAGGCACGAAAGCGUGGGGAGCAAACAGG
rnacentral:rRNA from 1 species